UGGAGAUGUGUGUGAUCAGACGGGAUGCUAAAUGUUUGGUAUUUAUGUUUCUUGAGCGUUUUAAUUUAAUUUCAAUUUUUAAAAAUUUAAUAUCUUGCUUCAUUUUGUUAUAGGAGAGGCAGCAUAUCUAUAUUGUGGGGGAAAAUAAAAAACAAACUAGUUGCUAGGAGGUCUAGAUUCUGGUUUUGGAGAUUUGCCAGGGAAAGACUUGCUGUUUGACUUUGGCCCAGUUGGAUACCCUUCCCGGAUUUCUGUGUUCUCAUCUGUAAAAUCAGGGGGUCUGAUGGAACAUUUAUGAGGUCAGUCUUGUCUAACUUGGAAGAUAGAGGUCAGUGAUAGUAAAGGCUACUGCUGAGAUGGGAAGCUGCAUAGUUAGGGGUUUUUCCAUCUGGCUUUCGUGCUUCCUAUUGCUUGAGGAUCUGAACUUUCUCAUCCUGUUCUAAUAGAAUUACCUAUUUAUUGUAGCAAGGUUUACAAAGGGGUUUGUUAUUAGGUGUGAUUAUUAAGGGAGGAAUGGUGGGAAUAUAUGUGAGAGAGAGAGGGACAGAGAGAGAGACAGACAUAUAGACACAGAGAAAGAGAGAAAGGUAUGGAUAAAGAGAGAGAGAGAGAGAGAUAUAUAAAAGGUACAGAGACAGAGAGAAAGAGAUAAAGAUAUGGAGACAGAAAAAGAGAGAGACAAAGGUACGGAAACAGAAAGAGAGAUAAAGAUACAGAGACAGAGAGAGAGAUAAAGAUAUGGAGACAGAAAAAGAGAGAGACAAAGGGACAGAAACAGAGAGAGAGAGAGAGAAAGAUACGGAGACAGAGAAAGAGAGAGACAAAGGUACGAAGACAGAGAGAGAGAGAUAAAGGGCCAGAGACAGAGAAAGAGACAAAGGUACAGAGAAAGAGACAAAGGUACAGAGAAAGAGACAAAGGGCCAGAAAAAGAGACAAAGGUACAGAGACAGAGAAAGAGACAAAGAUAUGGAGACAGAGAGAGAGAGAGAGACAAAGAACAGAGACAGAGACAGAGAAAAAAACAAAGGUACAGCAACAGAGAGACAAAGGUAUAGAGAAAGAGACAAAAGUAUGGAGAAAAAGACAAAGGCACGGAGACAGAGAAAGAGAGAGACAAAGGUACACAGAGAGAGAGAAUGAGAGAGACACGAAGGUGUAAGAGAGACAGAAAAAGA